rnacentral:rRNA from 1 species
AAGAAACCAACAGGGAUUGCCUCAGUAACGGCGAGUGAAGCGGCAAAAGCUCAAAUUUUAAAGCUGACAUCUUCGGUGUCCGCGUUGUAAUUUUGUGAGGCAUCUCCGGGUAGGGCGCCGGCCUAAGUUCCUUGGAACAGGACGUCACAGAGGGUGAGAAUCCCGUGCUUGGCUGGCUGUCCCCGUCCAUGUGAGGUGUCUUCGACGAGUCGAGUUGUUUGGGAAUGCAGCUCAAAAUGGGUGGUAAAUUUCAUCUAAAGCUAAAUAUUGGUGGGAGACCGAUAGCGCACAAGUAGAGUGAUCGAAAGAUGAAAAGCACUUUGAAAAUAGAGUUAAAAAGUACGUGAAAUUGUUGAAAGGGAAGCGCUUGAGACCAGACUUCGGUAAGGGGUGAUCAGCCGUCCUUUUGGGCGGUGCACUUGCCCCCCUCCGGGCCAGCAUCGGUUGAGGCGGCGGGAUAAAGGUCCCGGGAAUGUGGCUCCUUCACGGGAGUGUUAUAGCCCGGGUGAAUGCCGCCAGCUUCGACCGAGGACCGCACCCGCAAGGGUUAGGAUGCUUGGCAUAAUGGUCUUCAGCGAC